ACUAAAAUAGCAAAAAGUAUUGCGUAAGGCCUAAGCCCUUUAGUUAUAGGUGCAACCCCUAUUUUUAGUG
rnacentral:tRNA from 1 species